UACGGAGGGGGCUAGCGUUGUUCGGAAUUACUGGGCGUAAAGCGCACGUAGGCGGCUUUGUAAGUUAGAGGUGAAAGCCCAGGGCUUAACCCUGGAAUUGCCUUUAAGACUGCAUCGCUAGAAUCGUGGAGAGGUAAGUGGAAUUCCGAGUGUAGAGGUGAAAUUCGUAGAUAUUCGGAAGAACACCAGUGGCGAAGGCGACUUACUGGACACGUAUUGACGCUGAGGUGCGAAAAGCGUGGGGGAGCAAACAGG
rnacentral:rRNA from 1 species